GUAAUCAUCUGCAACAAACCUCACAUGAGGCUUGGAAGUAGACGCACUGAAUAAUAGUUGGGUCCUUUUAUGAGCUUGUCAGGGUGAGUGGAAUUAGGGAUAGAUGCCCAUUUCGCCCUUUUCAGUGUUAGUAGUUAGUCGGGAGUCUGUACAAUUAUUUCUGUUUUUGCAAAGCAGAUCAGAAGAGUGUUUUCUGCAAUGAAAUAGCAAUCCCUCUUGUUGUUUGUUGUAACUUGUAAACGUACAAGUUUGAUUGGCUGAGGAUAAUAUUGUUCACAACUCAAUAAAUUGCACCAAAUGGCACUUUACAUAUCUGACAGUCUCAUGGUGACAAACACUAACUUUACAGAAACAUAAAUGGAACAAACUCUAAGCCAAUGUGGGCACACAGACACAAUAAAUACAUUAUAGUACAAAUUUUGAAACACUAAUUCAAGCUGAGAACAAGCUGUUGGCGACUAUGCUUCAUCUGGUCUCCUGUCAUGCAUAAUAGGAUUUUGGAUAUAAAUUGUCAGCAUCACUGUGAUGGAAAUGAACUUCUCUAUCUGAAAAUUUUGCAAUGUAAGGUGCAUACUGUUAGCAUAACAUCAGAAGGCAUAAGAAAGAUGACAUUCUCAAUACAUAUAACUCUAGAAGGCACAAUCCUACUUUUUUAUGGAUUACAAAUAUUAUUUCAUAAGAAAGAUGACCUUGUCAAUCUAUGAUGAAACAAACAACUAAAACUUCAUAAUGGCACACCAUAUACCUGUUGGUUUGCAUAAAAGGCUUCUAAUCAGCGGAUUUGUUUUAUGGGAAUACUAGCUAUUUUAUCCCAUUCUGGUCCAUCCUUGACUUGCAGUCGGUUCAUCAAAGUUGGUUUGCACCCAAUCAGAUGAAGAACUUGCAGCGAAGAUGGGAAGCGACUUGGCAGCGACUCCAACUCAGCACAAUUCAUAAUGCUCAGUUUUCUAAGAGAAUUGUUGUUGAAGUUGGUAGGGAAAGAUUCCACAGUGACCUUGGAGCAAUUUUCGAUCAAUAUACUUUCUAGUGCCACAAAACUUGGCAGUGAGUGUAGAGAGGAAAAUUCAGGACACUGCUGAAUGUGUAGCUCAUGAAAUUUUGUUAAGCAGUCUGAACUUUCCAUCUGUGGAAGACAUGUGAUGUUGUUGCAGUUUGAUAUCUCCAGCCAGGUAAGUGCUUGUAAACCCCUCAAACAAGUGUCCAACUGCUCAUCAUUAAUGUUUGAAUGAGAUAUUUGCAGCCUCUUCAAGGAAGUCAGCACCUGAAGCUCUUCAAACUUUACAUCCUCACAGUUCCUCAGAGUCAAAAUAGCAACUGCUUCCACUUGUUGCUGGUGCAUUAAUCCAUUUGUGAGGACGGUGGCAGAGCACGUAUCUAAUGCAAACUUGCUUGCUUUUGAUAACGAGGAGGAGGAUGAUAGUUUCAGUUGUGAAACAAAACCGGUAUUUUUUACCAAGACCUUCCUAACGGAUAGAGGAAGAUGAGGCACCUUAAUCAACUCAGGACAGUUCAAAAGCCUCAGUUUACGGAGUUUAGGGAACACUUCAAUGUUCCUUUCUUCUUGUGUCCACUCCACCCACUGUGGCAUAUCAUCAAAUUCAAGUUCCUCCAAAGAUGGAAAUGCAGUUAAUUUGGUUCCAUAGGAAUCGCAGCUGAUUUUUUUCACUGAACACAUCUCUUUCAAAUGCAGAACCUUGAGGCAUGGAAGCUGCCCGAGAGGAGGCAAGGCCUCCCACUUUCUGCAGUUGAUCAAAUGCAGAUAUUUAAUGUAUAGGUCACUCGCUCUCAAGCUUUCGCUCAACCAGUUUGGUGAUCUGUUACCAUGAUAUCUUCUAAUGAUAAGCUUUUUAACAUACUGGUGCGGUUCAAGACCGUCCAAGACUUUAGCCUCAACAGAAGGCACACUCUUACCAGUCGAGUUCCAUUCUAACUCCAGGACCUUAACAUUCUCCUUCUUGUUUAAUCCAGCUUGGUAGGCUUCUUCCUGAUCCUUUACAACAUCAAGGUUCUUGAUAUGAAGCUCUUUGCGAAGACCACUCAUACCAUUCAAGUCUCCUAAAGUAUGCCCCUUUUCAUUUUUCACAUGGAACUUAAUUGAUCCCUGCAGGUGAACCAGUUUCCCAAUACCAGUGAUUUUUGAUGUAUCCAUAUCCAAAUGUCGCAGACGUUUCAGGUUUACUAUGUUUUGGGGGACCUCAAGGCCAGAUCCCUUAGGACUACUAAAGGUUUGAAGACGAUAGAGCUUUGUCACUGCUUGUGGAAGCCUGGUGAUUGAUUUACAAAGGGCCAGGUAUCUGAGGUAUUUAAGAUUCCCAAUUCGCUCUGAAAGACGAACGAUAUUACAGCCUUCCAAGCCAAGAACUCGAAGACUUCUCAGCUCUGUGAAAAGAUCACCUGGCAGUUGAUCCAACGAAGAGGAAGGGCCCUUGAGAAUCAGCAAUGUGUGUAAUCUUUUGAGCUCACAUCGGCUUUUGAGCUCACAUCGGCUUUUGAGCUGUGCCAUGGUAUCACUGGACACCGAGAAGUGCCGGACUGUCUUUGGGAUCUCUUGCUUUGCAUCUUCAAUUCUCACGCAAUCAAAGCGAGAAACAUUUUCGGCCAAAUCAUGCAUCAGGUCAUGGAUGUAAUAGUACCUCCGACGCCCUACCUUUUGCCUAUGGAAAAAGGACCUGUCCACAAGCUGAUCAAAGUAAUCGCUCCCCACAUCCUCCAAUUGGAUGAAAUCAAGGGCCAUCCAUAUCUUCACCAGCUUAUCACGCUUGAACCUCCACUUCUUUGGGAAUAAGCUACAGAUUGCAAAGCAUGGUUGCAGGUGUUCUGGUAAAUUGUGGUAACACAACUCCAAUGUUUUGAAAAUAUUGUCAAAGCUAUCCAUAUCGAGCACCCUUUUCCAGUGGGUGACCCUGCGGCUGCCUUCCAGCAUCUGUCCAACGGCCUUGGCUACCAUUGGUGACCCCUUGAGCUUUUCAGCAAUUUUUCUCCCGAUGUCUUGCAGUUCUUGAGGCUGCUUAUUAAUGUCUUCCUCGCCAAAGGCACACCUCUUGAACAGAGACCAGAUGGCAUCCGCCGGCAAGUCAUCCAACCAGACCUCCUUGCUUGCGUACAGCAAAUCUGCCAUGAUUUUUUGGCGAGUGGUGAUCACAAUCUUGCUCCCCGUCGUCUUCCCAUUGCCGAUGGGUGCCAGCACCUUGGACCACAUUUCUCGGUAGGCAUGCCCGUUUAUGUCCUCCCUGUUCCAAUUCCAGACGUCGUCGAUCACCAGCAGAAAUCUGCGCGACGAGACUUCCUCCUGGAGUUUCACCUGUAACCAGUUGAAGUUCUUCAUGCCGUUCGGCACAUCGACAUUGACAGAAUGCAGGAGUUGCUUGGCGAGCUCAAACUCGUUGUCCGUAGCAGCGGGCUGGAUCCAGAUCUUGAGGUCGAAGGCAGAGUCCACUUCCUGAUCCUCGAACAGGAGCUGCGCCAGCGUGGUCUUCCCCAUCCCGCCAUGGCCCAUGAUCGCGGCGACCGGGACAGACCUGGCGUCGCCGCCGUCGGGCGUGCCGACGAGCCACGACACCAUGUCCUGCAGCUCCCUGUCGCGCCCGAACACCACGUGCUCGCGGUCGCGCACGGAGCCCGUGGCUCCGCCGUGGAGCCCUUGGUGGUGGCCGCUCAGGUCACCGGAGCCCAACCCCGACCCAUGGGCCGCCGCCGCCUGCAUCAGCGCCGGGGAGUUAGCUUGGACGGCUUGCAGCUUCUCGACGACGUCCUUGAGCCUGUUGACGCGCUCGUCGGCGCCCAAGAUCCGCUUGCCGAACCUGGCGACGGGGGAUUCGGGCUGCGGGGCCGAGUCGUCGAAGUCGUCGAGGACGUCUCUGGCCUCGUACACGGCGUCGAUGAGCUGCUGAAGCCACGCGCGGAGGUCCCGGCUUUUGUCCGGCGAGCCCCGCGCCUGGACGGCGCCCGCCACGGCGCGCAGCUGGGCCAUCAAGUCUUUCAUCCGCUCGAGAGCCUUGGGGACGCCGUCGCCCUGCCACCUGAUCCUGUCGGAGGCGCAGGAUUUUGCCUUGUCCAUGACGAUCUUGAUGAUCGGGCACACCAGCCAGCCUACCACCGCCUCCACCAUUCUCGCCGGACGGAGAUCGAGGCUGCGCGCUGUUGGUGGAUGGCCAAGGAGACUGGAGACUGAGGAGUGGAGUCAACGGCUGUGGCCUGUGGGGAGCUGGCCGCGGCCGUGCGUGCUGGGCUCACCCGGCUGGAGGGGACGAGGGGUUUUUGGGUGGUUUUGACGGGGCAAUUUCCGUGCGAUUUCGGCUGUUUUGGGAGUAUCCUUCCGGCAACGCAGAGAGCUUUGCAUUGACCGACUCGGCGACGCGGAUGGGCUUGGAAGUCUUCCACAUGAACACGGUUGGGUCGCGUCACUUCCGUGUGGCCGUGUGGGCACUGCAAUGAAGUGGCCAAUGACUACAGGACAGGAAAUUUGCAAGAUUGGAAGCAGGAAAUGUCAGUCUCUGCGAGGAUGGAACUUCUAUUUAUAGCGGGCACAUGUUUAGCGUCUUCAGUUGCAUCUAUGCAGGCUGGCGAUGAUUAUAGCUACAGUGCUUGCUUGAUUCAUUUGUUACGGUUGGAACGAAUAUCAAAACCCAUCGGUGUCCUCUACUUUAACGUCUACUAUAGAAGAUUUUAGUUAAUUUAAUGUUAUUCUUUUUACCUUUAACUAUAAAUAUAUAAAAUUUUAUAUAGAUUGACAAUACAAUACAAUUGGUAUUAUUAUAUUUGGGUUAACAAAUAGUUUCAUAGUAUAUGACACAUUCAGUUAUAUUUUUAUAGAUAUUACUAGUCAAAGUGUGAUCGUGAGAUCAUGCCAUUUGUUAAAUAUAUCUUAGCCCAUAUAUUGUAGCCCACGUGGCUAUCUCACUGCGUAUGCGCACCUCAAGCCACCCUAAUGCCAUCUUUCCCAUAAAUCAUUUCAAGGCAAUAAAUCAUGGCGCAAUCCAUUUUUUUCACAGCAACAGCACGACCGUUGCGUGUGUCGAUCGUCCCCUGCUUGUCGCACCCGCACGUUAAAUUACUAUCCUCACUAGGGAUGAAAACAGUUGGGAUAGAUCCCGAACUGACCACUUCCAUUUUCUACAUUAUGAUUUCAUUUUCGACCGUUCCCAUUUUUAGCAAAAUAUAAAAGUUGUCAGAUUCAACUAAUCUUAAUGUCAUUCUUCACCAUUUUUGUAGUAGUUUAUUUUCAUAAAUGUGGAAAAAAUCCCGACCGCCCCGCUUUUGUUUUCUACAUUAUGAUUUCGUUUUCGACCGUUUUCAUGCCUAGUCCUCAGCACUAGUUUCAUGGUCUGUCGUGCUGCCACUUUGUUGCCCCCGCUUCUAGCUCGUCAUUCAGUGCAGCCGUCGCCAUGAGCUUGUUGCUCACAUCAUCCUCGCUUGUUGUGGCUUCUUCAUUUGCCUCGGCCUGUUGGCUCCCUCCUAUGGAUCUUCAUGCAAUUUCAUCGUACUGAGGAGACACCUUUAGAGGAUCGCUCAUGAUAGACGCAUACUGUGGACAAUCUUGUUUAGGGGGUCUUUGGAUUGGAUUCUGGUUAUAGAUUCCACUAAAAAAAAU
rnacentral:lncRNA from 1 species